rnacentral:rRNA from 2 species
UACGUAGGGACCAAGCGUUGUUCGGAUUUACUGGGCGUAAAGGGCGCGUAGGCGGCAUGACAAGUCACUUGUGAAAUCUCUGGGCUUAACCCAGAACGGCCAAGUGAUACUGUCGCGCUAGAGUGCGGAAGGGGCAAUCGGAAUUCUCGGUGUAGCGGUGAAAUGCGUAGAUAUCGAGAGGAACACCUGAGGUGAAGACGGGUUGCUGGGCCGACACUGACGCUGAGUGCGCGAAAGCCAGGGGAGCAAACGGG